rnacentral:pre_miRNA from 1 species
ACUCCGAGUUUCGAUCGGGAACAGCAUAUGAGACGAGUUCCCGAAGAAUCUCAGAGUCA